rnacentral:tRNA from 1 species
GGCUAGAUAGCAGAGUGGUUAUGCAUAAGAUUGCAAAUCUUAAAAAGAUCGGUUCGAAUCCGAUUCUAGCUU